CAGAUUCAAAGUGUUCUACAAGAUAUGAAAAACAAAUUCCAAGCAAUGUCUGACCAAAUCAUAGCAAAAAAUAUCCUUUUUUCACUGUAUCAAUUUUAUUUUAAUUACAUUUUAAUAUUUUAAUAACAGGAUUGCUACCUGGAAAACCCAGAAAUAUCAGAAAAUUUUCAAUUUUUUAUGGAAAUUCAGGGAAUGAGAAAACAUAUUUUAAGUAUCAAAUUAGAGUUGUAGUUAUAUAAUAUAAUUGUAUAUAGUGUUGUAUCAAACUUUAUUUAAAAUUUGCAUAUUAGCUUAUUAGCUUUAGUUUAUCCUUUUCCACAACACACAAGUAUAGUUGGUGUGUCAAUGCCAGUUAAUUAAUAUCUUAUUAGGUACUCUGACUAGAAACUAGAUUGACACACUCAGUUUAUAUUUUUCUAUUACAUUGUAUAGUUAUUUAUAGAAAAUUUUAUUUUAACGUUUUUGAUAUUUUUCUGUGAUAACAUAUUUAACACUAUAUGGAUUAGAAAGUAUUUUGCUGAGAGUUUAUUCUUAGAAGUUCUUAAAUCUGAUAUCUUUUCCAUUCCAUUAGAUGAAUCACUUUACAAAGUAUCUUAAAAAGAGCAAAUGAAUGUAUAAUACAAUAGUGAAAUUUUGGUGCAAGUCUUCUCGUAAAGUGACAUCAUGUUUUUUAGAACACACAACUGCAAUUGAUUUAUUAGAAGCUUUGAAAAUAUUCUAAAGAAUUUUUGCUAUAAUAAAAUUAUAUAAUUAUCAAUGGGUAGGCUUUUUAUUAAUAUUAAAGUUAUAAUGGCUUUAGAAAUGAAAUUAGCUAACUCACUUAAAAUUAAUACGGUUAUAUAUUCCGUCAAAAAACAAAAAAAAAACUGUUUUUAUUUCUUUUAUAAUUAUAGGUGUCUGUAGCAUCUCUAGAAAGUAUCCUAGAAAAUCAGGGAAUUUUGUGAUCUAAGAUUUACAGUAACUCUAAAAAACAAAGUAUGGUCAUAAAUUUGUAUUAUUAAUUUG